AGUGAACGCUGGCGGUAGGCCUAACACAUGCAAGUCGAACGGCAGCACAGUAAGAGCUUGCUCUUACGGGUGGCGAGUGGCGGACGGGUGCGUAAUACAUCGGAAUCUACUUUUUCGUGGGGGCUAACGUAGGGAAACUUACGCUAAUACCGCAUACGACCUACGGGUGAAAGCAGGGGUUCUUCGGACCUUGCGCGAUUGAAUGAGCCGAUGUCGGAUUAGCUAGUUGGCGGGGUAAAGGCCCACCAAGGCGACGAUCCGUAGCUGGUCUGAGAGGAUGAUCAGCAACACUGGAACUGAGACACGGUCCAGACUCCUACGGGAGGCAGCAGUGGGGAAUAUUAGAAAAUGGGCGCAAGCCUGAUCCAGCCAAACCGCGUGGGUGAAGAAGGCCUUCGGGUUGUAAAGCCCUUUUGUUGGGAAAGAAAAGCAGCAGGUUAAUACCCCGCUGUUCUGACGGUACCCAAAGAAUAAGCACCGGCUAACUUCGUG
rnacentral:rRNA from 1 species